rnacentral:lncRNA from 1 species
CGGUUGAUAAUAAACUGUAGAUUAAAUAAUGUUUGUAUUUGAACUUAUGAUUUAUAUGUCACGGUUAAUUGAUAUGAUUUAUAGAAUAAAUGCAAAUUAACUUUUGGUGCGUACCCACACAUAAAAAUUUAGAAAUGAAAAAAUGCUUAUUCAUCAUUUUUUUUCAUUCAUCUUCUCUGUAGGUAGAUAUAUUUUGGAAGUUAUCCGUAUUCAAUUUUAUGUUAUGAUAAAAUUCUUUUGGAAAAGUAAUAAUAUAUUUAUAUGAAUAAUCGUACAAUAGGCCCAUUCUUUAUUAUUUCUUUUGUAAUAAAUUUAAAUUCUAAUAUUUAUUGUCAAUUUCUUAUUAUCGUAAAAGAAUUCAUUUCUUGAGAUGCUGUGUUAAAAUAAACUAAUUUCAGAAUAAAUUGCUAUUUAAAACAUAUCUGUUUAAAAAACAAGACUAUCGAGAAUGUUUGCAACAUAAUCUACUUGAAGAAUCUAAUUAUGAUUUAAUUCAGAAAUGGUCGUUUGUAGUGUUUGAAAGUUAGGUUAGAGAUCCGAUCUAAAAAUCUUUACACAACUAAAAGUAGAAUUUGAUAGAUAUAUUUCGUCGUAAUAUUUAGGUAAGCCUAGAAUAUUUCCUAACGUUUAAAAAAUUGUUUUAAUAUUCCUAAAUGAUAUAUUGUAUUCACGAAAAUUAACUGUAGGUUUGGUUUAAGAACUUAGAAAUAUAUGAAUGUGUAGAUUUCUGAUUAAUUGUCGAAGGUGUAUAACGAUAUAAUUGUGUUUCUCUACAACGGUAGAAUGAAAAACUCACGGUUGAUAAUAACUCAUAGAUUUUAUUAUUUUUGUAUUUGAUCUUAUGAAUAUAUGUCAGGGUUAAUUGAUAGGAUUUAUAGAAUAAAUGCAAAUUAACUUUUGGUGCGUACCCACACAUAAAAAUUUAGAAAUGAAAAAAUGCUUAUUCAUCAUUUUUUUUCAUUCAUCUUCUCUGUAGGUAGAUAUAUAUUUAGAGUUAUCCGUAUUCAAUUAAUUGUGUUUAUCUAUAACGGUAGAAUGAAAAACUCAUGGUUGAUAAUAAACUGUAGAUUAUAUAAUGUUUGUAUUUGAACUUAUGAUUUAUAUGUCACGGUUAAUUGAUAUGAUUUAUAGAAUAAAUGCAAAUUAACUUUUGGUGCGUACCCACACAUAAAAAUUUAGAAAUGAAAAAAUGCUUAUUCAUCAUUUUUUUUCAUUCAUCUUCUCUGUAGGUAGAUAUAUUUUGGAAGUUAUCCGUAUUCAAUUUUAUGUUAUGAUAAAAUUCUUUUGGAAAAGUAAUAAUAUAUUUAUAUGAAUAAUCGUACAAUAGGCCCAUUCUUUAUUAUUUCGUUUGUAAAAAAAUUUAAAUUCUAAUAUUUAAUGUCAAUUUCUUAUUAUCGUAAAAGAAUUUAUUUCUUGAGAUCCUGUGUUAAAAUAAACUAAUUUCAGAUUAAACUGCUAUUUAAAACAUCUGUUUAUAAAACAAGAUUAUCGAAAUUUUUUCCAACAUAAUUAACUAGAAAUUUUCAAUUAAGAUUUUGUUAUGGUCGUUUGUGGUUUUGGGCAGUUAGUUUAAAGAUCCGAUUUUAAAAUCAUUACUCAAGUAAAAGUAGAUUUGGUUAGAUAUAUUUCGUCGUAAUAGUUAGGUAAGCCUAGAAUAUUUCAUAACGUUUAAAAAAUUGUUUUAAUAUUCCUAAAUUAUAUAUUGUCUUCACGAUUAUUAACUGUAGGUUUGGUUUAAGAAUUUAAAAAUAUACGAAUGUGUAGAUUUCUGAUUAAUUGUCGAAGGUGUAUAACGAUAUAAUUGUGUUUCUCUAUAACGGUAGACUGAAAAACUCAUGGUUGAUAAUAAGCUGUAGAUUAUAUUAUGUUUGUAUUUGAACUUAUGAUUUAUAUGUCAGGGUUAAUUGAUAUGAUUUAUAGAAUAAAUGCAAAUUAACUUUUGGUGCGUACCCACACAUAAAAAUUUAAAAAAGAAAAAAUGCUUAUUUAUCAUUUUUUUUGAUUCAUCUUCUCUGUAGGUAGAUAUAUAUUUAGAGUUAUCCGUAUUCAAUUUUAAGUUAUGAUAAAAUUCUUUUGGAAAAGUGAUAAUAUAUUCAUAUGAAUAAUCGUACAAUAGGCCCAUUCUUUAUUAUUUCUUUUGUAAUAAAUUUAAAUUGUAAUAUUUAUUGUCAAUUUCUUAUUAUCGUAAAAGAAUUCAUUUCUUGAGAUGCUGUGUUAAAANUUCAUCUUCUCUGUAGGUAGAUAUAUUUUGGAAGUUAUCCGUAUUCAAUUUUAUGUUAUGAUAAAAUUCUUUUGGAAAAGUAUUAAUAUAUUUAUAUGAAUAAUCGUACGAUAGGUUCAUUCUUUAUUAUUUCUUUUGUAAUAAAUUUAAAUUCUAAUAUUUAUUGUCAAUUUCUUUUUUUCGUAAAAGAAUUCAUUUCUUGAGAUGCUGUGUUAAAAUAAACUAAUUUUAGAAUAAAUUGCUAUUUAAAACAUAUCUGUUUAAAAAACUCGACUAUCGAGAAUGUUUGCAACAUAAUCUACUUGAAGAAUCUAAUUAUGAUUUAAUUCAGAAAUGGUGUUUUGUAGUGUUUGAAAGUUAGGUUAGAGAUCCGAUCUUAAAAUCUNCAUUUCUUGAGAUGCUGUGUUAAAAUAAACUAAUUUCAGAAUAAAUUGCUAUUUAAAACAUAUCUGUUUAAAAAACAAGACUAUCGAGAAUGUUUGCAACAUAAUCAACUUGAAGAAUCUAAUUAUGAUUUAAUUCAGAAAUGGUCGUUUGUAGUGUUUGAAAGUUA